GUGGGGAAUUUUGGACAAUGGGGGCAACCCUGAUCCAGCAAUGCCGCGUGCAGGAAGAAGGCCUUCGGGUUGUAAACUGCUUUUGUACGGAACGAAACGGUCCUGGCUAAUAUCCGGGGCUAAUGACGGUACCGUAAGAAUAAGCACCGGCUAACUACGUGCCAGCAGCCGCGGUAAUACGUAGGGUGCGAGCGUUAAUCGGAAUUACUGGGCGUAAAGCGUGCGCAGGCGGUGCUGUAAGACAGGCGUGAAAUCCCCGGGCUCAACCUGGGAAUUGCGCUUGUGACUGCAGUGCUGGAGUGCGGCAGAGGGGGAUGGAAUUCCGCGUGUAGCAGUGAAAUGCGUAGAUAUGCGGAGGAACACCGAUGGCGAAGGCAAUCCCCUGGGCCUGCACUGACGCUCAUGCACGAAAGCGUGGGGAGCAAACAGGAUUAGAAACCCUAGUAGUCC
rnacentral:rRNA from 1 species